rnacentral:rRNA from 1 species
GACGAACGCUGGCGGCGUGCUUAACACACGCAAGUCGAACGGAAAGGCCCUGCUUUUGUGGGGUGCUCGAGUGGCGAACGGGUGAGUAACACGUGAGUAACCUGCCCUUGACUUUGGGAUAACUUCAGGAAACUGGGGCUAAUACCGGAUAGGAGCUCCUGCUGCAUGGUGGGGGUUGGAAAGUUUCGGCGGUUGGGGAUGGACUCGCGGCUUAUCAGCUUGUUGGUGGGGUAGUGGCUUACCAAGGCUUUGACGGGUAGCCGGCCUGAGAGGGUGACCGGCCACAUUGGGACUGAGAUCCGGCCCAGACUCCUACGGGAGGCAGCAGUGGGGAAUAUUGCACAAUGGGCGGAAGCCUGAUGCAGCAACGCCGCGUGCGGGAUGACGGCCUUCGGGUUGUAAACCGCUUUCGCCUGUGACGAAGCGUGAGUGACGGUAAUGGGUAAAGAAGCACCGGCUAACUACGU